AGUGAACGCUGGCGGCGUGCCUAAUACAUGCAAGUCGAACGGAGUGGCGCACGGGUGAGUAAUAUAACGCUAAUCUGCCCCUUGAUAGAGGACAACAGUAAGAAAUGACUGCUACUACUCCAUAGCAUGGGAUGAGACUAUAUCGUAUCAGCUAGUCGGUGGGGUAACGGCCUACCGAGGCUAUGACGCGUAACUGGUCUGAGAGGAUGAUCAGUCACAUUGGAACUGAGACACGGUCCAAACUCCUACGGGAGGCAGCAGGAGGGAAUAUUACGCAAGGGGGGAAACCCUGACGCAGCAACGCCGCGUGGAGGAUGACACUUGUCGGAGCGUAAACUCCUGUUGUUAGGGAAGCGGUACCGAACGAAUAAGCACCGGCUAACUCCGUGCCAGCAGCCGCGGUAAUUC
rnacentral:rRNA from 1 species